rnacentral:rRNA from 1 species
AAAUUGAAGAGUUUGAUCAUGGCUCAGAUUGAACGCUGGCGGCAGGCCUAACACAUGCAAGUCGAGCGGUAGCACAGAGAGCUUGCUCUCGGGUGACGAGCGGCGGACGGGUGAGUAAUGUCUGGGAAACUGCCUGAUGGAGGGGGAUAACUACUGGAAACGGUAGCUAAUACCGCAUAACGUCGCAAGACCAAAGUGGGGGACCUUCGGGCCUCAUGCCAUCAGAUGUGCCCAGAUGGGAUUAGCUAGUAGGUGGGGUAACGGCUCACCUAGGCGACGAUCCCUAGCUGGUCUGAGAGGAUGACCAGCCACACUGGAACUGAGACACGGUCCAGACUCCUACGGGAGGCAGCAGUGGGAAUAUUGCACAAUGGGCGCAAGCCUGAUGCAGCCAUGCCGCGUGUGUGAAGAAGGCCUUCGGGUUGUAAAGCACUUUCAGCGGGGAGGAAGGCGUUAAGGUUAAUAACCUUGGCGAUUGACGUUACCCGCAGAAGAAGCACCGGCUAACUCCGUGCCAGCAGCCGCGGUAAUACGGAGGGUGCAAGCGUUAAUCGGAAUUACUGGGCGUAAAGCGCACGCAGGCGGUCUGUCAAGUCGGAUGUGAAAUCCCCGGGCUCAACCUGGGAACUGCAUUCGAAACUGGCAGGCUAGAGUCUUGUAGAGGGGGGUAGAAUUCCAGGUGUAGCGGUGAAAUGCGUAGAGAUCUGGAGGAAUACCGGUGGCGAAGGCGGCCCCCUGGACAAAGACUGACGCUCAGGUGCGAAAGCGUGGGGAGCAAACAGGAUUAGAUACCCUGGUAGUCCACGCCGUAAACGAUGUCGAUUUGGAGGUUGUGCCCUUGAGGCGUGGCUUCCGGAGCUAACGCGUUAAAUCGACCGCCUGGGGAGUACGGCCGCAAGGUUAAAACUCAAAUGAAUUGACGGGGGCCCGCACAAGCGGUGGAGCAUGUGGUUUAAUUCGAUGCAACGCGAAGAACCUUACCUGGUCUUGACAUCCACAGAACUUUCCAGAGAUGGAUUGGUGCCUUCGGGAACUGUGAGACAGGUGCUGCAUGGCUGUCGUCAGCUCGUGUUGUGAAAUGUUGGGUUAAGUCCCGCAACGAGCGCAACCCUUAUCCUUUGUUGCCAGCGGUUCGGCCGGGAACUCAAAGGAGACUGCCAGUGAUAAACUGGAGGAAGGUGGGGAUGACGUCAAGUCAUCAUGGCCCUUACGACCAGGGCUACACACGUGCUACAAUGGCAUAUACAAAGAGAAGCGACCUCGCGAGAGCAAGCGGACCUCAUAAAGUAUGUCGUAGUCCGGAUUGGAGUCUGCAACUCGACUCCAUGAAGUCGGAAUCGCUAGUAAUCGUAGAUCAGAAUGCUACGGUGAAUACGUUCCCGGGCCUUGUACACACCGCCCGUCACACCAUGGGAGUGGGUUGCAAAAGAAGUAGGUAGCUUAACCUUCGGGAGGGCGCUUACCACUUUGUGAUUCAUGACUGGGGUGAAGUCGUAACAAGGUAACCGUAGGGGAACCUGCGGUUGGAUCACCUCCUUACCUUAAAGAA